AGUGAACGCUGGCGAUAGGCCUAACACAUGCAAGUCGAACGGCAGCACAGUAAGAGCUUGCUCUUACGGGUGGCGAGUGGCGGGCGGGUGAGGAAUACAUCGGAAUCUACUUUUUCGUGGGGGAUAACGUAGGGAAACUUACGCUAAUACCUCAUACGACCUACGGGUGAAAGCAGGGGAUCUUCGGACCUUUCGCGAUUGAAUGAGCCGAUGUCGGAUUAGCUAGUUGGCGGGGUAAAGGCCCACCAAGGCGACGAUCCGUAGCUGGUCUGAGAGGAUGAUCAGCCACACUGGAACUGAGACACGGUCCAGGCUCCUACGGGAGGCAGCAGUGGGGAAUAUUGGACAAUGGGCGCAAGCCUGAUCCAGCCAUACCGCGUGGGUGAAGAAGGCCUUCGGGUUGUAAAGCCCUUUUGUUGGGAAAGAAAAGCAGCAGGUUAAUACCCCGCUGUUCUGACGGUACCCAAAGAAUAAGCACCGGCUAACUUCGUG
rnacentral:rRNA from 1 species